AAAAAAAUAAACUCUGGGUUUCCGUAUCCAACUUUGACUAUCCGUCUUAUAUGAAAUUUUUUUUAUAAUUUAUAUUUUCAUUAUUGUCAGAUGAUAAAACAUGAUUAAUAUUUUAUGUGUGACUUGUCUUUUUAAUUUUUUUCAUAAUUUUUUUAAAUGAGAUGGAUGGUCAAACGUUGGACAUAAAAACCAGUGUUUAUU
rfam:Oryza glaberrima chromosome 2 Oglab02_0341_14, whole genome shotgun sequence.